rnacentral:lncRNA from 1 species
GCUGCUGCCUCUCAUUUUCUUUGACAUCAGAGCUGUGCAGAGACAGUGUAACCUGCUGGCGCUUCUUUGCUUCCUGUUUCUAAUAUAGUGUCUUUAUGGAACAGCAAUACUGUGGAUAAAACUUCUAAUAUAAGAGCUGAGCCCUUUUCCAGGCAGUCACAUACAGUACCUCUGGUUCCAGCAGCAGCCUCUGAAAGUAUGACCGGGCUGGGCUGAGGCUGGAGUGGUUGGUGAGAACAUCUAAGCAGAGGCAAUCCUGAGGAGGGAGUGAGCUCUGAAAAGUCCUGGGAAUUUAGCAGUGUGUGUAUAUGUCUUGGCUACAGGGUAUAUUCUUUAAGUUUUUUGGUUUAGUGCAAAAAAUGUUGGCGCUGAACUGGUCCUACCUAUGUUUGUUAAAAUAUCUUAUUUUAGUAUUUUAGUAGCCAGUAACCCUCAGCAUGUACAGUAACUUCAAAAUACAUUCAUUUUUACAUUUUUCGUUUUGCGUACAUUUCUUUUACUUUAAUAGAUUCACACCAGUGGAGAGGAAAUAUGAAUAAUCUCAACACCCUUCGAAAUCAAUAAUUUUCUCUUCAGUGACUUUGUUUAGUAAGCUCAAUGUUACGUGCUGUUUUGUGGAAUAUUUUUCUAGCAGAUCACUCCCCCACCAACCCAGGAUCCUAAGGGCGGAAUCGUUUUCUGUUGCCUGUUUUAAUUGUUAUUGGAUCUGACUGCCUAGAGCCCAGCAUGCAUCAUCUGAUAAUAGUCACAUAGAGAUAUGAGAACAUUGCUCAUGAGAACUUAAAUAAUUCUUGUUCAGUGCCUCUAUCUCAUAUGCUACUCAGCCCUCUUUCUUUGCUGUAAUUAGCCAUUUUAGUUCUGAUUCUUCAUGUUUUAGUUAAAUUAGAAGCUUCAUUUAAAAAUAUCAAACAGCAUUUAAGCAUUUGGGUAAAAUUUCAUGUGAGUAAUAUAACUGUAAUAUUUGCAAGGCUAAAAUUAGUACCCAAAGUCAUUAAAUGCCAGUAUAUUGACAAGACACUUGAACAAUGUAUGACCUUAUUCUGAAGCUCUCAGCAGUCAUCCUCUUCUUCACUGUAGCACUAGGGACUUUUGCUGGAAGGACAUACCUCUAUCAGCUACCUUUUAGCUCCUUCCAUUCCAAUUGUCCAUGUUUUGGCCUGUAAAGUAGUUGCUAGUGUUUUAUUGUUCCAGAAUAAUACCUUGAUUCCCUCAGAGGAGGAGGAAGAGGAGCAAGUGUGAUGCCUCUCUGUGUGUAUGGAUUGACAUCCCAACCUAAAUAAAUACUUGAUUGAAUAACUUGAAGUGUAGAAUAGCAAUAGCAAACAAAAUAGCCAGUGUCCCCAUGGAAAAGUCUAUAUUUGUAUUUAGUUAAUUGAGCAUUUAUUAUGGUAAUUUCUGAGCAUAUCAUCUCAUAGAGUUUUGUCUCUGCAUUAAUGGGCUUCGGAGCCUUGGAAAACUUUAUUAAGUUAUCCCAUUCAGUGAUGGACAGCUAAGAGACAAGGGCAGUUCUUAAGGCCAUCAUGAAGCUGAUCUGAAAACUGACUCUAAAAUUCUUUAUACUCCAUAUGUUCAUUUUUUAAGAACGCCAUUCAGUUUAUUUUGCUUUGUGCUUCAUAGAACGAAAGGAAAUAUACACCAUUUGCAUGGUUAUCAAUUGUAUUAUGGAAAAGUUCCAUGACAAAGUAAUAUAGGGAUUCUUGCUACAUAGCAUGAGGUGAUAUCACAUGCUCUUUUUAUCUGGACUGGGGAAGGUAUUAGCUGCUCCAAAAGCUUGUGACCUCAAGAAAUGCAGCAUUCCAGGGAGAUGGCACUUUGUUCAGUUUCUUAGGUACAGCUUUUCAGCAAAGAAUCACAGAAUAUUCUGAGUUGGAAGGGACCUACCAGGAUCAUCAAAGGGUUGGUUACAGGCACAUGCCUUGAUGAAGGGUAUCUUUUCAUUUUUAUGACUUAGCAUGAUUUUGGUACAACACAUUUUAAAGUGUGUUGAAAGUGUAUGGCAGAGUGGGAAGCCAAAACACCACAAUGUGGUAUACAGAACUACAAUUCAAAUUCCAUCAAAAUAAACUCUUUUACACACAAACCCAUACCUUCUCUGCUCCUCCCCACUCCUUUUCCUAUUUAUUCUUUGGCAGAGUGCAGUAGAGAGGAUUCUUUGUGCCAGUGGGCUUUAGCAACCCUCUCAAAAUAUUCUUUCUCCUGAGCCUACUUUGUGAACAUUUAGUUGUAUCUGGCCAUUUUCUACCCUGAUUCUCUUAUUUAAUGCUACAUUCUUUUGGCUGCACUUUGUGAUCUGGAGUUAGUAUUGUUUAUUCUUUCACUACAGGUAGUAAGAGUUGUGGCUGUUGCUUCUCUCCUACCAUCUGUUUGCUUCUUUCUAGCUGUGAUGGGUUUUUCAUGUGCUUUGCAAAUAGUCUAUCUAAUGCUGCCAGACUGUUCUCUCAUUCAGUGCCCAUCAAUAGCUAUAAUGGAAACAGAGGGCUGUGUGAGGAAAAAGUAAAAAACAAAUAAAUGUAUGAUGUGUAUGCUUAUGAAUUGGCCUUCUUCAAUCAUCAUUUUGUUUUGUAAUUAAGUGAAACCGAAGCUCUCUGGCAGGAAAUUAGGAAUUAUUCAUAUGAACAACCCAUGAAUUCAUGAUUGCUUUUAUUGGACUUGAAGUCCCUUAACCCAUUUUUCAUAUGCUUUUCUAGUCUCAACAGGUGCUUCAUCUCACUGUUUUUUCCUCUUUUUUACUUCCUUUAUCCACGGAGGAAGAGCCAGCAAGGCUUCUGAGUUGUUUUUUUGCCUUUUUGCACUGUAUGACUCAUAAAGUUAAAAAAGAAGCCUGAAAUUUGGGAUGUUACUAUUUAAGUAAGCAUAGCAAAAUAACCUCUUUUAACUGACUUUCAGUAAAAGUGGUCAUCAGCAAAACAUGAGAUGGCCCUGGAGAGGCAACAGUGUUGUGACUAGGCUGCAACAUUCUGGAAAAUAAUUUUUGUCUCUUUGUCACUGAGCAGGUGGAAAGAGCCAGUUUGCUAUAGUGCUCUGAAAUCAACAUGUUUAAGUGAUACAAGAGAAGGAUUGCUCAAAAAUAAAGCCUAGUUUCUUUGAAGCCAGUCCUGUUGCUGUCAAACAGAGCAGACAGAAGCCUGUAUUUUGAGUUUAUAGGUACUGAAAAUUACUAUACUGUGUCAGAUCUGCACGCAUUUUGCAUAUAUUCAGUUUAAUAAAAUGAGGUACCAUAAUGAAAUUCUGUUUGAAAAGUACUUGGAUUAACUUUUAAUUUUGGAAGUAAUUUUUAAAAUGCCUUUUUUUGGCAUUUGCCUCAAAUACUCCAAACCUUAAUUUUCAUUUGCUUUCUUUUUCUAGAGUCCUAAAAGUUUCUUCUUGUCAUUGAGAUUUUUGUGUUUGCCAAACAUCCAUUGCUGCAGUGUUUAAAACCAGAUGAGAUGUUUGAGGACGUCCUCAUCACUGAUACCAGCCAUUUCUUUUUUGCCUUGAGUUUUCCCACGUUGCUUCAGUAGCUUGAUAAAUUUGCGACACUUUUUGCCUCUGUUGUAACUUUUAUCUCGGACGCUUUGUUUCCAUAGGCUUCCUAGGCACAAGUCUGCAUGGCACAGAUAUUGAGAUGUUGGCUCAUUGCCUCUCUUCUUUUGCAAUUAAGUUCUUCCUUAAGGAACUUUCUGAAUGCUGGAUGACAUAAAACAUUGUGAUAUAUAUAGAAUUCUUUGAAACUUACUGAUUGAAAUCUGUCCUUCAAACAGAAUGUGUCUACAGCUGACAUGCAUAUCUCUUCAGUAUCUAACUGAAGCUCACACAGGAGACAAGCUUGUAAGAGUUCUGAAAUGCAAGCAAAGCUUAUCUUUGACCCUGUGUCACAGAAUACAUAUAGGAGGGUUUUCUAAUCCAUGCUCUUUUUUUCUCUGCAAUAUUUAAAUUAGAUUAUCUGUAGUUAAUGCUUGCUGCUACCAGGGGACCCUUCCAGGAGCAGAGUUUGGAGACAGCCUCCACUGCUUCUCAAUGGGGAUCUGCUCUGGGGCUUUGGUGUACACAAAGCAGGGCACAUGUACACAUGUACACUGCACAUCCUGCCUGUGUACCACCAGCCCUCACCCUCCUGCUGGUCCCCAGGUCCCCCUGCCUUUUUCUCUCUCUCCCUGACAGCUCUUUCCCACUGCUGCACAGCCACAGUGCUCAGGCAGACUCAUCCUCUCCCUUUCCUCUACUCUCCCUUCUCUGGACCCUGAGGAAAUCUCUGUGCUAACAGGAGGUUUGGGAUCUGUGUGUAGGUCUGCAGUCAAGCCUGGAAGAUAAUGGGAUUGCCCUUGUUGCUGUCACUGCGGACUCAUGAUCUGGACCCCAGGACUUGAGCAGGACUGAAGGACAUAUGGGCACCUGUUGUUGGUGGAGUUGGUGAUGAUACUGGAUUAGUGCACAUGCGGUCAGCCUGCUUGGCCUCGGCCCUUUGGACCCAAAAUGAACUCCAGCUGCUGCUGCCCAGAGCAGCAAGUGGUAAGAAGCUGGAUCAUCUUUCUUCAUCUGCUCACUGCCUUCACAGAAUUUGCAAGUGUGACGAACUAUUUCAUCCCUUUACAGGAUUAGGGAUGCGGAUUUGCUUCUCACCGAGGUGCUGCUGGCUGGUUCACUGCCUGCUGGAGGGUGUCUCUAAGACCUGAUUUAACCUGAAGCAUGCACUUCCUCAGGAGGUCUGCAGCAGGGCUGGAGGACUGCAAACACUGCAUCACUACCCUCCUGUCCCCUGCUGCCACACGACUGCUGUGCCUGUGCUGUGCUCUCAGCUGCCUCACCCUGAAAUGUUCCUCAUGAUGGUUUGUAUGGAGCUACCAUGGAGCAGGCUUUGCUUUUGGUGGCAGUAUCCCUUACCAUGUCAUUCAUAAAGAAGAUGGCUUUAUCCUCACCUUUAUUCCACUGGGACCAUCUGCUCUACACACAGGCUCCAAAAGUGGAAAAUCUUCUGUGACCUUUUUUAAUUUUCAGUUGAAGCUCUACAUCACAUGAACUUCUUGGGGUUUUUUGAGAGGUAAAGACUUUUUUUUUUUUUUACAACACCAAAUAAAAAACCAAACACCACAGCCCAAGGAACCCAAAACUGAUAGGAAAAAAACCUGAAACCCACACAUUGAACGCAAGCUGGAGAAAUAACUGCAUUGUGUGACUGAUACAGUCCAUGGGAGUACAAAGCAUUCCAGUCUGAUUUUGCACAUCCACUCCCUAUACCUAUUAAUAACUUUUAGGCAUGGGCAUAGACAUGAAGAUGGGCAAGAGUAGUUUGCCAUGCAAACAUUUAUCUGGGAGCUGUACUAUUUUCUAGAGCUAAAGAUUUCAGUGUGAUAAAGUGGACAUUUUAAAGCAUUGGUGGAGAUAGGGGGGAUGUAACUGCCCUUAAACUGAGGUUGGAUUAGGUGUUCUCACAUCUUGGAGUCUGCCAGUAAAUAGCAAAGUAUAUGAGCAAUGGAAAUAUGUCCUUCUUAAUCUGUAAAAAGAAAAGGACUGUUUUGAAAAUCCAUCAAUCUUUCAAAUCGUCUUAAGGCAUAUUGAUCCUGAAUAAGCACAGGGGAAUUCGUCAGGGGUGUUCUUUUUAGUGAUCUAAAAGUAUAACUGUGGUUGAAUACAUCAAAAACUGUAUCUUAUUCCAGUUGUCUUUAUUACUGCAAUAAAUGAUACCAACUCUUUCU